rnacentral:sRNA from 1 species
CCCACGGCUCACGCCGUGGGCUACUCUCUGACGGCCCUCCGGGCCU